rnacentral:rRNA from 1 species
UACAGAGGGUGCAAGCGUUAAUCGGAAUUACUGGGCGUAAAGCGUGCGUAGACGGUUAUGUAAGUCAGAUGUGAAAGCCCCGGGCUCAACCUGGGAAUUGCAUUUGAGACUGCAUGGCUAGGGUGCGGAAGAGGGAAGCGGAAUUUCCGGUGUAGCGGUGAAAUGCGUAGAUAUCGGGAGGAACACCCGUGGCGAAGGCGGCCAUCUGGACCAGCACUGACGCUGAGGCACGAAAGCGUGGGGAGCAAACAGG